UACUUAGCUUACACUAGCCUACUCCUUUGGAAAAUAAAUAAAAAUGUUUAUUCAACUUAAACAAAUGCAUUCCUCCAAAAACAGUGCAAACGUGCAAAAACAGUAGCAGUGUGGCACUUACCGUUAUUUAAACUUGCCUGUGCCUUCCCUUGCACGCAUUUAUAAGACUGUUCUCUGUGCUGUCUCACCUGUUCAUACAGAUUGGUCAUGUUGCCCGAGACGUAGUGACUAAAACUUUGCAAGUUUUGCUGAGAAUACAUCCAUGGUCAUGCUCCUUUCAUUGUUGGCUAACAUAUUUGUCACUCUGUGGUCUUUGCCCUAAAAAUAACGUUUUUCUUAUGGCACCCUGCAGAACCUGUUAAUGCUUAUUAACAUUACAAUUAAGGUUAAGACUGUUGCUAUUGUAUUAGACCUAAACCUUUCACUGUCUGAGAUAAAAUUAUCCUUAAUUAUGACUAUAUAAUCUGUUAUUCCCCUAUUUAACCGUCAAAUGUUGUUUUUGAUUGUAAUUGCUGUGUACAUAAGCCUUUUCAGUUAUUAAUCAAUGUUAAUUUACACAGGUCCUGUUCUUGGAUGCAGCAACCAACAACCGUGCCAAUACAGCAUUCUCCUUUUUCCUUGAGGCCACUCGGUUACAUGGUGUUCCAUCAAGGGUUCGUGGAGAUCAAGGCAUUGAAAAUGUGGACAUUGCCCAUUUCAUGUUCGAGAGACGUGGAACCGGUCGAGCUAGCUUUAUCUCGGGAAAGAGUGUACACAAUCAAAGGAUUGAACGGAUGUGGCGAGAUGUGUGGAUGGCUGUGACUUGCAUCUUUUAUGAUGUGCUUCACACGCUCGAGGAAGAUGGUGUUUUGGACAUAGCAAACAUAAUGCACCUUUUCUGCGUGCAUUAUGUCUUCCUGCCUCGCCUUCGAUCAGCACUACA